rnacentral:rRNA from 1 species
CUACGGGGCGCAGCAGUGGGGAAUAUUGCACAAUGGGUGCAAGCCUGAUGCAGCCAUGCCGCGUGUAUGAAGAAGGCCUUCGGGUUGUAAAGUACUUUCAGCGGGGAGGAAGGGAGUAAAGUUAAUACCUUUGCUCAUUGACGUUACCCGCAGAAGAAGCACCGGCUAACUCCGUGCCAGCAGCCGCGGUAAUACGGAGGGUGCAAGCGUUAAUCGGAAUUACUGGGCGUAAAGCGCACGCAGGCGGUUUGUUAAGUCAGAUGUGAAAUCCCCGGGCUCAACCUGGGAACUGCAUCUGAUACUGGCAAGCUUGAGUCUCGUAGAGGGGGGUAGAAUUCCAGGUGUAGCGGUGAAAUGCGUAGAGAUCUGGAGGAAUACCGGUGGCGAAGGCGGCCCCCUGGACGAAGACUGACGCUCAGGUGCGAAAGCGUGGGGAGCAAACAGGAUUAAUACCCUAGUAGUC